rnacentral:rRNA from 1 species
AUUGAACGCUGGCGGAAUGCUUUACACAUGCAAGUCGAACGGCAGCACGGACUUCGGUCUGGUGGCGAGUGGCGAACGGGUGAGUAAUGUAUCGGAACGUGCCCAGUCGUGGGGGAUAACGUAGUGAAAAUUACGCUAAUACCGCAUACGAUCUAUGGAUGAAAGCGGGGGAUCGCAAGACCUCGCGCGAGUGGAGCGGCCGAUAGCAGAUGAGGUAGUUGGUGGGGUAAAGGCCCACCAAGCCAACGAUCUGUAGCUGGUAUGAGAGGACGACCAGCCACACUGGAACUGAGACACGGUCCAGACUCCUACGGGAGGCAGCAGUGGGGAAUUUUGGACAAUGGGCGAAAGCCUGAUCCAGCCAUUCCGCGUGCAGGAUGAAGGCCCUCGGGUUGUAAACUGCUUUUGUACAGAACGAAAAGGUUUCUACUAAUACUAGGAGCUCAUGACGGUACUGUAAGAAUAAGCACCGGCUAACUACGUGCCAGCAGCCGCAGUAA